UUUUCUCUUCUAAUCUCAGGUGAAGGGAGACAACAAAAUCAAAGAUAUAGAACAAAGGAUUUAUAAGACAUAGCAGAGGUAAGAGAUACAAAUCUUUUCUUCAUCUAUGGCUGCUAUGACCGAGAAGGAAGCUAUGGUAGAUCCUUUUUUGGUCGAGGCUCUUCAGAAUCCUCGCCAUCGUCUCACCAGUUUGAUGUCAGCAAGAUCGGUCGAUGCAAGCUGUGCUGCCAUAUUCUUUGAAGGAACAGGAAGAGAAGAGUUCUCGCUUUAAAAGAUCUCAAACAUAAGUUUGCGAGCAUAAGAAAGGCCUUUAUCUCCUAAGCCCAUUAAGAUGACACUCGCAAUUAUUAUUGAUCCAAAUCCCCACGUUUCAGGAUCCGCGUGUUUUACCAAAUCACUAUGGAUCUAGAUCCGGCCCGAAA